rnacentral:sRNA from 1 species
AAAUAAAUCAGUAAUAAGCCGUAACACUCCAUGUGGGCCUAACGAUCCUCAAAAAUUCGUCUUGGAUCAGUCAGCCUUGGCGGCAGAACUUCCCGAAUUAGGUGAGGAUUGUGAAGUGAGAGCAAGUUGAUGACAAAGUUCUCAUCGUCCACGUGGUCGACACCAGGAGCCAUCUUUGAAGUCAGUUGGCGCUCCUGCUUGCGGGGACGAAGACUUCGAACGGGACAGUUAUCCUUUAGACAAUCAUGCUCUACUGCGAAACGAAAAUGUAAAGCCUUAAUGGGGGGUCAGCACUAAGACAUAGGGGAUGUAUGAGUAGAGAUCCUCACUUGUGAUGAAAGGGUAAUGUACUCUCCCUCAUUCCUUCAUAUCAUGGGCAUGCCAUGGAUGGGAUGGCGGAUUCGUCCGAUGAUGCUGCUAUUUAUAGUGACUGUUCACAGGUCACCUUCUGAAAUGGCUUAAUAUUGUCGAUGCGCCCAUACAAGAUUUUAUCCUGAAACAUGUCAGAGAUUAAAGCACUUGUCGGAUUUACUAUAUUUGGCACAGACACAGCCCCUUUUUGCCGUCUACUUACCCCAUCCUUACAAACUACCCAAUUUCCCACUUUCCACUCCGGAAGCGGCUUCGACACUGUACAGUUUAUGGUCUUUCUCGCCUGCCACACGAACAACUCUCCCUGGUGGCCAAUAAUUGUCAACAGAUGUGAUGUACGAUUUCAAAGUCCAGGCAUACCUUUCUUGGGUUUUUGUCACCGACCAACCAAUGUCCGGGGUCGCAGGUCGGGUAGUCGAGGGAAGAGCGGGAAGGAAUACAAGGAGGGGCAAAGGGAAACUAGGCUUGAUCUGGAGAGCGUAAUCUCCCGGACUUGCAUUGAGAGAUUUCUAAAUAAAAAGGAAACCAGCUAAAAGGAUUCAAUUAUAUAUAUAUCUCCUCUUCACUCGAGUCCUCUCCACCACAGGAUCUGAAUAAAUGAAUAAAUAAAUAAUAGACCGUAGCAGUUUUCUAGGAACAGACCAGCCGAGGUAAGUGCAAAGGCCGUGAUCUUGUUGUAGCUCUAGGACGUUAUUACUUGCUUUCCAUAUACUGGUUUCGGUGGCAAAAAGACCACCAGUUACCAAAUGGGCACAUGUUCCAGUAUGAGCAAACCAAGCCGCCACAUCAUGACUAUUAGCUUGCCCAUUUCCACGGAUGGUGCAGCCACGAUAUUGAACUUCUCAUGUCGUUCUGUAGCCUGAUGGAGAACUGGACCAAACCUAAUCACGUCUCGCACGAUAUGGCAGAGAUAAUGGACUUUAGGUUUCUUCGUAAUAAUGUCCGGACAGAUUUCAUUGAGAAGAUCCUGCACAUUUGCAGUCAAUAUCUCGAGAUCAUCCUAAUUUCGCGUUGCAUGGAAACCAGAGAUGAGCGCCUAAAGCCGCGAUGGCUAGCAUCAGCUGGCAAGUUACCUAGUCUUCAGCUUUAGGGAAAACCCCGAAAAGCUGCAAUGUCAGGCAUUGCGACAGGAACCUGUAAUGCCGCCCGUUGAGGGAAUGGCUGUACUGCCAGAUAUAUAAGCAUCGCCUUUGUCAGCUUCUAGGCAAUGCUUCGAGAAGAUCCUGCACAUUUGCAGUCAAUACGUCCAUUUCGGACACUCCCCCUAAUCCGCCCCUGGAGCGAUCAAAUCCACAGGUCUCCUAGCGUCCCUGACUGCCUGUUGGAGUCUCAAAGCUCGGAUUGCAGCUCCGUGUAGCGUUCCGCCAAGUGCUUUUGUCAGGAAAUCUGCCCUCUGCUGGGAACCGGGGAUGUAUUCGAUUUUAAUUCACCAAGUUCUACCCUUUCGCGGAUGACGUGAUAUCUAAUAUCGAUAUGUUUGGAUCUGGCGCGCGAAAGAGGUUUUUUUGAGAGGCUUAUCGCGGCUUGGUUGCCGAUAAGUAGCUUUGAUGGACCGGGUUGUGGGAGAUCAAUCCCCUGGAGGGGGCUGAGGAUCCAUACUACCUCACUAGUUGCUUCUGAUGCGGCAAUAUAUUCGGUUCCCAUAGUUGAAGAAUCUGUGGUGCGUUGUCGACGUGAGCACCAACUGAUAGGGGAGCCGCAAAACAUGUAAGGGUCCUGAUAGAUUCCAUCCCCCCUAGCGUGAUGCCGAGGCGUCGAGUGUGAGAUAGGUAGGAGAGGACUCCGUGGGCGAGGCAGUAUAGCGAGCAAGGAAAGAGGUGGCAAAUGCGAUGUCGGGACGGGUACAAUCAGCGAGCCAGAAGCAAUGGUCUUGUUAGGGUGAUCGCGCGUGACCCGCAUGCCGAGGACGUAUGUCGCGGGGCCAAGAGAGCUGAGGGUCCAUUUGCUAGAGAGUUGAUUGAGAAUGUCGUGGAUAGUGGAAGGGGUACGCUCUACAAUGACCAAGUCGUCGGCGUAGACAAGCAUAACCGCCUUGAGCGUUGUUCCCCCGGAGGACAUAGGGUCUCCACUCGCUCUCGCAACGCUGGAAUCCUAGAGCCUCGGGCACCCCCCUAGUACCCUCCACUAUUCUCUGCCUCUUUGUUUGAGACCGUAGAGCGUUUUGUAGAGUGUAUGGUGAUCGAUUGAUGGUGGUGGUGAUCGGCGGUCUGUGCGUUGCAGAUCAUCCGCUGUCACGGCGCUAUGCACAAGUGACGCCCGAAACCUCCACCUCCGACGACCGCGGCCCAUCGUCCAAAUUCUCUUUGGUUUCUCGACCUUUCUCUUCGUCCUUCGGUCUCUCUCCAGCCAUCUCUCUACCUUCCCGUCUCCCUCGGGCUAUUUAUACAUGCUCUGGUCGGCAUGCUCACCACCUCCUCUGGCCCCGUUCGGUACGUGAGUCAGCAGUAUGAGAAAGAUGAGUAAGCAAGG